GUUGUCACUGCACCGGCCUGGGUUGCUGCUGUGGUGGUUUCAAUCCCUGGCCCAGGAACUUCCACAUGCUGCAGGCACAGCCAAAAAAAAAGACAUGGGGUGCUUCAUUGUUUGAGAGAUGGAUAAAAAUUGAAAGAAAUAGGAGUCCUUGUUGUGGCUCAGUGGGUUAAGAACCUGACUAGAAUCCAUGCGGAUGCAGGUUUGAUUCCUGGCCUCGCUCAGGGGAUUAAAGGAUCAGGUGUUGCCAUGAGCUGUGGUGUAGCCCACAGAUGUGGCUUGGAUCUGGCAUUGCUACAGCUGUGGCAUAGGUCGGCAGCUGCAUCUCUGAUUCGACCCCUAGCCUGGGAACUUGUAUAUGCCUCAAGUGUGACCCUGAAAAGUAAAAAAAAAAAAAGGAAAUAGGUUGUUUUAAGAAUCAGAUACUUGGCCAGGGAUCGAACCCGCAAUCUCAUGGUUCCUAGCUGGAUUUGUUAACCACUGAGCCACAACAGGAACUCCUGUUUGUAGACUUUUUAAUGAUGGCCAUUCUGGCUGGUGUAAGGUGGGACCUCAUAGUGGUUUUGAUUUGUAUUUCUCUAAUAAUGAGUGAUGUUGAACACCUUUUCAUGUGUUUUUUGGCCAUCUGUAUGUCUUCUUGGGAGAAUCGUUUGUUUAGAUCUUCUGCCCAUUUUUUGAUGUGGUUGUUUGUUUUUUUGGUAUUGAGCUGUAGGAGGUGUUUGUUUAUUAAUUUUGGAGAUUAAUCCCUUGUCAGUCGAUUCACUUGCAAAGAUUUUCUCCCAUUCUGUGGGUUGUCUUUCGUUUUGCUGUAGCACAUCUUCUUUAUCCAUUCCCCUGUCCAUGGACAUUUAGGUUGUUUCCAUACCUUGGCUAUUGUGAAUAAUGCUGCUGUGAACACAGGGGUGUGUGCCUGCAUCUUUUUGAAUUAUGGUUUUGUCUGGAUAUGUGCCUAGCAGUGGGAUUACUGGAUCAUAUGGCAAUUCUAUUUUUAAUUUUCUGAGGAACCUCCAUACUGUUUUCCAUAGUGGCUGUACUGAUUUACAUUCCCACCAACAGUGUAGGAGGAAUGGCAUGGUUUUUUUGAAAUGGUGAACAUAAGUUCUAAAUAAACUACCGUAUAAUCUUCCCUCCAUUUAUACAGUAGUUGCAUGCCUAGAGGAUUCAGCACACUAAAAACUGCAAAACGUACUUUGUGUUUAUAGGUAAAAAAAGAGUAAGGUUAUAGGCUCAGCUAAUUAUAAAUUGUUUUUCACUUGAAUAUUUAUGGGGACAUAUGAUAGCUGUGCAGGACUUGGGACAAGUCGUUGUGCAAGAUUAUCCCAGGCAUUGCAAGAAAGCUAGCAUCCUUGGCUUCCACCUACCAAAUGCCAGAGAUGCUUCCCAGUCAUUGUGACAAUCAAAACACUUUCACCUCUAUUGGGUAGGGAAUGCCACUUCUGCCAAGAACCACUGUUCUAAAUAAUAGGAAGCCAUCAGAAGUAUUUUUCUCCCCUCAACUUUUUGAUAAAU
rnacentral:lncRNA from 1 species